GACGGGGGGGGCAAGCGUUAUUCGUCUUUACUGGGCGUAAAGGGUUAGUAGGCAGUUUGUUAUCAAUUAGCAGGACAUUUCGCAAUUUAUUUGCAUUUUUUGCUUUUUCAAGAACACACUAGAGUUUGGCUGAAGAUAUCGGUACUUUUGAUGGAGAGGUGAAAUUCGUCGAAAUCAAUGGGGGACCACCGUGCGCGGAGGCUGGUAUCUAAGUUUUAAACUGACGCUGAGGUACGAAAGCGUGGGUAGCAAACGGG
rnacentral:rRNA from 1 species